rnacentral:rRNA from 1 species
UACGUAGGGGGCAAGCGUUUGUCCGGAAUUAUUGGGCGUAAAGAGCGUGUAGGCGGUCCGGUCAGUCGGUUGUGAAAGUCAAGGGCUCAACCCUUGAAUGCCGGCCGAUACUGCCGGGCUAGAGUCCGGAAGAGGUGAGUGGAAUUCCCGGUGUAGCGGUGAAAUGCGUAGAUAUCGAGAGGAACACCUGCGGCGAAGGCGGGUUGCUGGGCUGACACUGACGCUGAGGCGCGAAAGCUAGGGGGAGCGAACGGG